GACGGAGGAUGCAAGUGUUAUCCGGAAUCACUGGGCGUAAAGCGUCUGUAGGUGGUUCAAUAAGUCAACUGUUAAAUCUUGAGGCUCAACUUCAAAAUCGCAGUCGAAACUAUUGGACUCGAGUAUAGUAGGGGGUAAAGGGAAUUUCCAGUGGAGCGGUGAAAUGCGUAGAGAUUGGAAAGAACACCAAUGGCGAAAGCACUUUACUGGGCUAUUACUGACACUGAGAGACGAAGCUAGGGUAGCAAAUGGG
rnacentral:rRNA from 1 species